rnacentral:rRNA from 1 species
UAGAGAGGUCCCAAGCGUUGUUCGGAUUCACUGGGCGUAAAGGGUGCGUAGGCGGUCGGGUAAGUCUGAUGUGAAAUCUCACAGCUUAACUGUGAAACUGCAUUGGAUACUAUCCGGCUCGAGGAAUGGAGGGGAGACUGGAAUACUUGGUGUAGCAGUGAAAUGCGUAGAUAUCAAGUGGAACACCAGUGGCGAAGGCGAGUCUCUGGACAUUUCCUGACGCUGAGGCACGAAAGCCAGGGGAGCAAACGGG